UGCGUUUUGCUAUUAUUUUACUUUUUACUCAUUCUUUUAGCUUGCCCUCUUUGACAAAUAUCAUUUUAACUUGAAAAGGACAAAUUAGUAUCAAAAUUAUAAAAUUCAUGGCAUUAAUAACUGCGUUUUGCUAUCUUUUUACUUUUUACUCAUUCUUUUAGCUUGCCCCCUUUGACAAAUAUCAUUCUAACUUGACAACGACAUAUGAGUAUCUACAUUACACAAUUCACAAUUUUGGCACAAUACAACUCAUCAAUAACAAAUAAAUAAUAGUCUGUCUUUCUCAAAACCUCAUCCUAGUUCACCAAAUAUAUUAAAAGUCCAUUUAAAAUUCCUGUAUUCCUUAGAUGAAUGAGAUUGCCACAUAUAAGAUACUAAACUUCACUAAAGAAACCCAAAAAUGGCCAAUUCAAAAUGAUAGCGUGGAUCAUCUUGUUUAUUUGGAUUUCAGUGCAUGGCUUUUCUACAAGGUCUCAUAACUGAAAACACCCUUUAACAAAUAUGCAAUCAAGGUUUUAAGUAAAUUUUAUAAAACAAAC
rnacentral:lncRNA from 1 species